GACGAACGCUGGCGGCGUGCCUAAUACAUGCAAGUCGAACGGAGAUAUACGCGGAAGAUUUAGCUUGCUAUUGAUUCUUGUGUAUCUUAGUGGCGGACGGGUGAGUAACGCGUGAGCAACCUGCCUUUCAGAGGGGGAUAACGUUUGGAAACGAACGCUAAUACCGCAUGAUAUUAUCUUAUCGCAUGAUAGGAUGAUCAAAGGAGUGAUCCGCUGAAAGAUGGGCUCGCGUCCGAUUAGGUAGUUGGUGAGGUAACGGCCCACCAAGCCGACGAUCGGUAGCCGGACUGAGAGGUUGGACGGCCACAUUGGGACUGAGACACGGCCCAG
rnacentral:rRNA from 1 species